GACUCGGUGGUGUAGUGGUGGAGCACUCGUCCCCGGAUAGGAUGAAACGCGAGUUUGAUCCUCAACUGAGGCC